CCUACGGGUGGCAGCAGUAGGGAAUCUUCCACAAUGGGCGAAAGCCUGAUGGAGCAACGCCGCGUGGGUGAAGAAGGUCUUCGGAUCGUAAAACUCUGUUGUUAGAGAAGAAAGUGCGUGAGAGUAACUGUUCACGUUUCGACGGUAUCUAACCAGAAAGCCACGGCUAACUACGUGCCAGCAGCCGCGGUAAUAAGUAGGUGGCAAGCGUUAUCCGGAUUUAUUGGGCGUAAAGGGAACGCAGGCGGUCUUUUAAGUCUGAUGUGAAAGCCUUCGGCUUAACCGGAGUAGUGCAUUGGAAACUGGGAGACUUGAGUGCAGAAGAGGAGAGUGGAACUCGAUGUGUAGCGGUGAAAUGCGUAGAUAUAUGGAAGAACACCAGUGGCGAAAGCGGCCCUCUGUACUGUAACUGACGCUGAGGUUCGAAGGUGUGGGUAGCGAACAGGAUUAGAUACCCUAGUAGUC
rnacentral:rRNA from 1 species